rnacentral:rRNA from 1 species
ACUCCUACGGGAGGCAGCAGUGGGGAAUCUUGCGCAAUGGGGGGAAACCCUGACGCAGCAACGCCGCGUGCGGGACGAAGGCUCUCGGGUCGUAAACCGCUUUCAGGAGGGAAGAAAAUGACGGUACCUCCAGAAGAAGCCCCGGCCAACUACGUGCCAGCAGCCGCGGUAACACGUAGGGGCGAGCGUUGUCCGGAUUUAUUGGGCGUAAAGAGCUCGUAGGCGGCUUGGUAAGUCGGGUGUGAAACCUCCAGGCUCAACCUGGAGACGCCACUCGAUACUGCUAUGGCUAGAGUCCGGUAGGGGAGCGUGGAAUUCCUGGUGUAGCGGUGAAAUGCGCAGAUAUCAGGAGGAACACCAGCGGCGAAGGCGGCGCUCUGGGCCGGAACUGACGCUGAGGAGCGAAAGCAUGGGGGAGCGAACAGGAUUAGAUACCCUGGUAGGACAGUG